rnacentral:rRNA from 1 species
GGAUUAGAUACCCUGGUAGUCCACGCCGUAAACGAUGAGAGCUAGUCGUCAGGGGGCAUGCCCUUUGGUGACGCAGUUAACGCAUUAAGCUCUCCGCCUGGGGAGUACGGCCGCAAGGUUAAAACUCAAAGGAAUUGACGGGGGCCCGCACAAGCAGUGGAGCAUGUGGUUUAAUUCGAAGCAACGCGCAGAACCUUACCACCACUUGACAUCGCCAUCGCGAUUUCCGGAGACGGAUUUCUUCAGUUCGGCUGGAUGGAUGACAGGUGCUGCAUGGCUGUCGUCAGCUCGUGCCG